rnacentral:rRNA from 1 species
AUUGAACGCUGGCGGCAGGCCUAACACAUGCAAGUCGAGCGGAGCGGCGGACGGGUGAGUAAGGCCUAUGAAUCUGCCUGGUCGUGGGGGAUAACUUCCGGAAACGGGCGCUAAUUACUCAUACUAUCAGAUGAGCCUAGAUCGGAUGAGCUAGUUGGUGGGGUAAAGGCCUACCAAGGCGACGAACCGUAACUGGGCUGAGAGGAGGAUCAGUCACACUGGAACUGAGACACGGUCCAGACUCCUACGGGAGGCAGCAGUGGGGAAUAUUGGACAAUGGGCGAAAGCCUGAUCCAGCCAUGCCGCGUGUGUGAAGAAGGUCUUAGGAUUGUAAAGCACUUUAAGUUGGGAGGCGUUACCAACAGAAUAAGCACCGGCUAACUUCGUGCCAGCCGCCGCGGUAAUAC